UAAACCUAAAUAGUCCUAAAACAAGACUAUUCGCCAGAGUACUAUCGGCAACAGCCCAAAACUCAAAGGACUUGGCGGUGCUUCAUAUCCUUCUAGAGGAGCCUGUUCUGUAAACGAUAAACCACGAUCAACCUCACCAACCCUUGCUACUUCAGUCUAUAUACCGCCAUCUUCAGCAAACCCUAAAAAGGAACGAAAGUAAGCACAACUAUCACACAUAAAAACGUUAGGUCAAGGUGUAACCUAUGGGUUGGGAAGAAAUGGGCUACAUUUUCUAYACAACAAGAACACCCCUUAAACUUACACGAAAGUCUUUAUGAAACCUAAAGACUAAAGGAGGAUUUAGCAGUAAAUUAAGAAUAGAAUGCUUAAUUGAAUAAGGCCA
rnacentral:rRNA from 1 species